rnacentral:siRNA from 1 species
UUGGUAAGCAGAACUGGCGAUG